rnacentral:rRNA from 1 species
UGAGGAAUAUUGGUCAAUGGGCGCAAGCCUGAACCAGCCAUCCCGCGUGCAGGAAGACGGCCCUAUGGGUUGUAAACUGCUUUUGCAGGGAGAGAAACUUGCGUACGCGUUGCUCACUUGACGGUCCCCUGGAACUAAGCAUCGGCCAACUCCGUGCCAGCCGCCGCGGUAAUACGGACGAUGCGAGCGUUAUCCGGAUUCAUUGGGUUUAAAGGGUGCGUAGGCGGACUAUUAAGUCAGUGGUGAAAUCCUGCGGCUUAACUGCAGAACUGCCAUUGAUACUGAUAGGCUGGAGUUUGGUUAAGGUAGGCGGAAGGUGUAAGGUAGCGGUGAAAUGCUUAGAUAUUACACAGAACACCAAUUGCGUAGGCUGCUUACUGAGCCGACACUGACGCUGAGGCACGAAAGCGUGGGGAUCGAACA